GGUGGCUCAGUUGUAGGGCGCCUGCCUUGCAUGCAUGAGGCCCUGGGUUCGAUUCCUCAGCACCA
rnacentral:tRNA from 1 species